AAGAGGUGCUAUGAACACCAAGAACUGCUAAUUCUUAUUACUGAAGUUAAAAUCCUCAGGCC
rnacentral:tRNA from 1 species